rnacentral:rRNA from 1 species
AUGAAACACCCUCCCUCUGCCCCCAUAUUUCGCUUCGAGAUGUUCUGGCUUAACCAGAACGGUUUCGUUGAGGCUGUGCGCGGCCGCCUGGAAGCCCGCCUUGCAUCUCACCGAUCCAUCUCGGCGGUGGAUGACUGGCACUUCUGCGCCAAGCGCGCCCGUCAGUUCAUGAAGGUCUGGGGCGCGAAUCUCGGAAGGGACCUCCGUCUCCGCAAAAAGGCCCUCCUUGACUCCAUUCAGGCCCUGGAUCUUCGGGCCGACUCGGUGGGCCUCUCUCCUGACGAGUGGAUGCAGCGUUAUGACCUUGAAGACCAGCUUAUGGUCAUAUACACCGACGAGGAGGCGUAUUGGCGCCUUCGAGGUACCCAAAAGUGGGUUCUCCAGGGUGACGCCAACACCGCCUACUUCCAGGCAAUCGCCAAUGGCCGGCGGCGACGUAAUACCAUUCCCCUUCUGUGGGAUGGCGCGACGCUCCUCCAGCGGCCCGCUGACAUCCGUGCUCAUGUUGACGGCUUCUAUCGAGCUUGUUUGCAGCCCCCCUAG